CGUCAAAGCCGCCGGCAGGUUUCGCACGCGCGCGCAACCAUAAUCACAGACGCUGCUCAACGAUCGACGGAAAAGCGCCUCUUUUCGUCCCCUUCUUCCUUCUUGGAACCACGUGUGUUUGUCAUGAGACAUAGUUGACUAUUUGUUUAGUUUUGCUUUUGGUGACAAGUUGAUUUGAAGUAUCAAAUAAUGGGAGAGCAGAGGCAUAACGGGUUACAUCAGUGUGCUUUGUCUCAUGAUGUUCGGAGAACCUUGUCGCACAAUUCGCUCACGAUGGCAUGAUUCGCCAGUGAACACUCCGAUGGAGCACGUCCCGGAUUAACUGAGUGUGCUAUGGGCAUCAAGAAGCUAUGGCGGGCAUGGACAAUGGCGCCAAGCCACACCGGCACCGAGGCAUUGCUAAACAACACGAGUUUACCAGAAUCAUGGUGGAACGACUCAGCAGCUCUCAAUACCAGCUUAAACGUCAGCAACUGGCCCCAAGAAUAUUUCGAACUCGAUGUACUUUCCCGUGAAGAUUACGAACUCAUCAUCACCAUCGUCAUUGCCAUCGCCCUUAGCUUCCUUAUUCUCACUACGA